GGCGUACAGGUGGCGCAACGCAGAGCGCUGCAGGUUAUCAGAUCUGUAGACCAGGGUUCGAGUCCCGGCAAGGGACGUCUA